rnacentral:rRNA from 1 species
UACGUAGGGGGCAAGCGUUGUCCGGAAUCAUUGGGCGUAAAGCGCGCGUAGGCGGCCCUGUAAGUCCGUUGUGAAAGUCGAAGGCUCAACCUUCGAAAGCCGAUGGAUACUGCAGGGCUAGAGUCCGGAAGAGGCGAGUGGAAUUCCUGGUGUAGCGGUGAAAUGCUUAGAUAUCGGGAAGAACACCCGUGGCGAAGGCGGUUCUCUGGGACGGUACUGACGCUGAGACGCGAAAGCGUGGGGAGCGAACAGG